GGCCCCAGCCCCCACCAGACAAACCCUAGCCUCACCAAGCCCCACAUCUCGCGCUCCUCCCUCCUCCGUCCUCGUUAGCCGCCGCCGUCGUUCUGCCUCCCUCCUCUCUCUCCUACAACCACGCCGCCAAGAGGAAGCCGUCAUUCGUGGCGCCAUGCCGCUGCCGGGGUGUUGCACACGCAUCGUUCCCCAUAGCCCCUCCCUCAUCCUCGCUCGUCACCACCGCUGCCUGCUACUCCCCUCCACCAUCGUUGGUGCUUCUGGGUUGAAUCUGGCGUUGGUGGGUCGGAACUCGAGAUAGAGGUCGAGACGGGGAAGGUCAGAAAAAUGAGAGACCGGAUGGAGGUGCUCGAGAUAGAGGAAGCUGGAGAUGGUGGGAUCCCUCUCCCCAUAUCUAUUCUCUUAGUUUUUCCUCUUCAAACCUUCAUUGAUGGUCUACCUCCCUCAACACAAUUAUCUUCAUUGUCCAUCCGGUGGUUGGAGCACGGGGCAACGCUCUGGUCGCGAUGGGGUUGAGCUGCGCAGGAGGGGGAGGAGGCUGGCGACAGGGAACCGGGCCAGGGAGGAGGCAAGGUAUGUGUUGUCCCGUGUCUUUUCUCUUCGCGUUUUUCUUAUACCAUGUGUCUGUUUGUUUCCAGAGUGGAUCCAUGCCACCAAAUUCUUGGAUAAAUAAUGAGUGCCUAGGUAUGUAUGCUGACAUGUGAGUUAAUUUUUUGGAAAAAAUAUAAUCAUAUAUGUAUUGCCAACAAUUUUUAUGUUUAAAGCAACCAAUUUUGUGAAAAGAGUGGAGAGAAAGAUACAUGUGCAAUUUCUUGAUGUUACAGCGGAUGGAUACUCGAUCUUUAAACAUAAGCAUAGAUGAAUAGGUACAAAUUCGAGGAAAGGCCAAUGAAAUAGUUGUCUAUACACAUAUGUGCCAGUUUUAUACCUGGUUGUCUGGUUGCAUUAUUUAUCCGGUUUCAAUUCAGUUUGAGUAGAUUGUUAUCCGUGAGCGAUACUUGCUACUAUUUGUCGCCAUGCACCAAUUUGCAUACCUAUUUUAGGCACAGAAACCAACCAUGACUGAAAAUCUUGUAUAUAUAAUAUACUAUGAUUCAUGGUGAGAAAAUCAUGAUUUAAUAAACGAAAGGUGGUUUGUUUUGCUAACAGUAAUGAGUAUAAAUGUAAAUCGCAGAUCAUACGCUGCUGCUACGGGCUCCAUGUUGUUUAUGCUAGACAACACAAUGGUGCUUGUGUUAUCUGUAGUUGAAGUCACAGUUUAAUAUUCUUUGCUUUAUGCUUGUGUUAUAUGUGGUUGAAGGGACGUCCUUGUUAGUUUGCAUGGUCUAUGUAAGAAGGGGCAGUACAAUGCUUGUCAAGUUUGUUUAUAUUCUGAUGGAUGUUGAAUUCUGGACAAUGGAGACAUGAAUUUGUUACGUACAUAAGUAUUAGCCAUAGGAUACUUUACUCAUUGACGACAGGUAGUUUUAGAGAACUUCUGAAAAUUCCAAUCCGGGUUUUCUGUGUUCCAUUCAGGAAGAACGCACAGUCUGCACUGGGGUAUAAAAUUAUCUAGUACUUACCUUUGUGUCUCGACAUAUGCUUGUGAUGCAUCGUGCUACCAGAGGCCAACAUUAUCCAGUAUCAUAGCGAUGCUAAAAAUGCCUAUUGGCUACUCCACAUAUUCUCAUCUAAUUUCUCAUAUAUAGAUAUUAAUUUCCUUUCAUGGGAGGCCUUCAUUACAUUUCAGCGGCAGUUGCGGAUGUGGUCGGUGGUUGAGGGAGGGUCUCCGACUAGAGCAGCAGGAGCAAGGAGCUCGAGGAAGUUCAGGUUUAUGGCUUCUCACGGAUUGUGAUUCUGGUCAUGCUACCUGUUAUGAAGGCUGAGGCGAGCAUCAUGGAGAUGAGCAGGCGAGUGGCUGAUACAGAGAGCUCCUCGAACAGGGAAGAGGCAUUGCUGGAGGAACUCGAAGAUGAGCUAGUCAAUUUUGGCAUGUCCAGUUCAUGUAACCUUUGCAUCUUUACAUGUCUUUGCCUUACUGCCAUUUUAUUUUUGCUGCUUUGGGAUUAGGUUCCGAAGUCAUGCCUUUGCCUUGCUAUUGUGCUGAUAUUGGAUGCAACAUUGUGGACCUUUGGUUCGAGCAUGGCCAGCAUGGCCACGGAUUGUAGGGGAGGAAUGUAUUGCCUAAUGAGUUGUAUGCUUUCUUCGGAUCCUCUGUGCUUCCUAUCACAUCUAUCUUGGCCACCUACAAAUUCUUGGGUCCAGGUGAGCUCUCCCUCCACUCUCCAAGUUUUGCUUGAUCUUUCUGGGCUAUUUGUGUAGGCUAGCCCCUUUCCUAAGUCUCUUAUUUUAUUAUGGAUCAUGGAAGCAGGAAGUGUAACUCACAUUUUUAGAACACUGAUCCUUUAGGUAUAUAUAGUUUGGUUUUCUGAAAGUGGAUUGCAUUUGCUUCCUGAUCACAUUGAAACAAGAGUGGAAACAACCAUCGUCCGCCGUCCGUUAUUCCUCCCUUAGGUUCCUGAUCUGAAGCGGAGGGAACACGAGGUCACAUCCACAAAGUGGCGGAAGGGGGCUGCAACGUUUUUCUUCAGUCUGAUAAUCAUAUAGUAAUUAGACGGUGUAGUACUAUGGCGGUGGUAUACUGAUUUGGUGUAAGAAUCACUAACAUGACUUUACUUGUACAAAUCUUACAGGUUAAUGGUAUUAAGAAUUAGUAGCGUGUUUUUUUGUUUACUGCUGGAUUUGCUAACAAGUUGUCUCUUGUGUUGUUGUUGAUAUGUUGACUUGCUAUUUUUUGUUCAGUUGAAGGGUUCUCCAGGCUUAAGAUCUUUCUAGGAUAAUUGCGUCAUUGAAUCUGAAGAUAUUUGAUUGGUUUCUCAACUCAUGUAUCGAUAAGCAUUUUUUCAUCCUCAAUAUAUUGUUACUUACCUAACUUGUCGUACAUUUGUGAGGUUUCUAAGGAAGUUCACUUCUUGCACGCGGCGUAUAACUUGAGUUGCCUACAAAUGAUUUUGCCAGUUCGACGAAAACUUAAAAUAACCAAGGGAAAUUUCUCAGUUUUGUUGUUCUUGCUCUUCUUAGAUCUUAGGUUGGGGGUAUUAACAUAUAUGCCACACACUAAGUUUAGGUCUUAGUGUGAGAUUAAAUAGGGAUAAAUCCUUGUGCCAUGUUGAAGAAUUAGAAUUACAAAAAAGAAAGGAAAUAUUAAAGAAGGGAUAUGGUUGAUUAGGUUAUUUUGGUGUUUCUUUGUAAAUAAUGACAUGCUAACUUGCUGGUUUAAUUUAGGUGUGUGGAAUAUAGGAAAUACAAGGAGAGAUAUUCAGUUGCAAUCCAGCUUUAUUUUCAAAGUGAAACAUGGUAUACAUGCAUAGCAUGCUGGUCUUUUACUCUAUAGUUGUGUGUCGCCAUGGUGUCAACUUUGAACUUGCAAACUGAACUGUAAAAUGUUUUAAUGCCUUGGCGCAUGAAGUUUUCUUUGCCUGCUCUGACUACUUCAUUUAUGUUUAUUUAUCAGGUUAUGCAAUCUCCUGUGUUGCUGCAUGUUGAUCUUCUGUUUUGUUGUAACUCUGUUUUGCUGCUCGAGGACAAUUUCCUGGAUUAAUAUCUAUACUGGAGAUCUAGGAGUCCACCCGAAUUCAGUCUCCAAGAAGCCGUUCAUCCAGGAUCCACCAAAAUUCAAAUGAUAUGUGAAAAGUGUGUGCUAGAUGUGGCCCCUAUCCAGCGUUUUGAUUUGUCCACUCAGGUGCUUUUGUCUAGGUGGUAACACAACAAGUUGCUUAUCUUAUAGAAACUUAUUAUACAUACAGUCCUAUGUUCGUUCUGCUUGCAUGUUAGAGAAAGAGCUUCUGCCCCUAUGUGAGUAAUCCUAUGGGAAUUAGCAAUGUUGGUUGUACUUUCAAGCGGGCUGAAUCCAAUGCAAGUUUUUGGAGCAGUUGGGUUCCAGAACAAACGACUAGGUAUUCCCAAAGAGGUCAUUCCACUGGUGGCUAGCAUAAUACCUUCAUGUCGGGACAACGAUCCAAGCAAGCAACCAUCAUUCUACCAGCUCUUGUCAUCGUUGAAGAAAUUACAGUGGUUACAUUGUUACAGAAAGCCUAUGACAAUUUGCGAGUGUUGUUUGUGCAAUAUAUUGGUUUUAUGGGAGGUGCAUGUAUGAAUUCAGAUGGUAGUGGUCUCCUUGUUUACAGUUAUAAGAAUAAUAAAAAUAUUGAUAAUGGUCUUUCCACUA